AAGAAAGCAAAAAAAAUGGUACGACCAUAUUCAUUUUCCUUUCUUGCAGAGAACAACAUCCUUGAAGAGUGUUAUUAAGAAAGCAAAAAAAAUGGUACGACCAUAUUCAUUUUCCUUUCUUGCAGAGAACAACAUCCCAUUCCUAAUUACUAACAUUAUUCAUAAGUUUUAAAGUGGGAUGCUAAGAUUUGCAAAGUGACGAUGGAGCUUAAUCAAUUCACUUAAAACUUCGAAGCUUGAGAUUUGCGAUUCUAAGGGAGUACGGUACAAUUUUUCUCAAGAAUAUCAUACAGAUUUUUUUCUAUUACGAUCCGCCGUCAUGUGUUUUUCAUAAAAGAUGUGUGUUAGAGGGGUUGUCAAGAGAACCGGCUCAGGUAUGUUAAGGCUAUUCCUCUUUUCUUUUGGCAUGAUUCAAGUAACGACACAUAAACGUAAUGCUAUUCCAUAAGUGAUUCUACUCUUAAUAGUUAAGAAUGUCUAUGUUAUUCAUUCUUGUAAAGUUAUAUCCAAGUAUGUCUAAGUAUAUUCCUAAGUCUCUAUUGAGGUAUAUGAUAAAGAUGUUAAUGUUUAUAAUAUAGUGAUACGUGCAUCUUCAUGUAUUUACCACCGUGCUACGGCCGGUUAGGUAGUUAUACAUUUACCACCGAGUUAUGGUCGUUUGGGCAGACAUGCAUAUUCAUUUACCAUCGUGCUACGCCCGGUUGGGUAGUUACACAUUUACUACCGAACUACGGUCGGUCGGACAGUCAUGCAUUUACCACCGCGCUACGGCCGAUCGGGCAGUCAUGCAUUUACCACCGUGCUACGGCCGGUCGGGGCAGUUACCACCGAUCAGUUGGGCAGUCAUGCAUCAUACGAUAUAGAUAAUAGUCUCAAAGAGAAGCAUUAUAUAUAUAAGUAUACUAAGUAUGUAUAUACGGUGGCACUUCAGAGAUUCAGGUUGAUUCUUAUAUGUCUUUAAUUAAUGUUGACUAAUUGUUAUGUUUCAGUUGCGCCUUACAUACUUGGUACAUUAUUCGUACUGGCAUCCUUUUAUUGGGGACGCUGCAUUCAUGCCUGCAGGUAUAGAUAAUCAGUUUGACGAGCCCUUAUAGUAGACGAGGUUAACAUUCAGCGAAGGAUCGAUAAGACUCCACCUCAUUCGAAGUGAAACCGAGUCUAUAAGUCAUCGUGUUAGAGUUUUGCUAUAGACUUAUGGGUAGACUGGUACCCUGUCCCAUUUGAUGUCAAAUAAUCUUAGAGGCUUUGUAGACAGAGGUUCAUUUUGUACAGUAUGUAAGAGGCCUUGACGGCCAAUAUGUAUUCAUGUUUUAAGAAAGAUGAUUCAUUGAUACAUUAUUUUUUCACUUACAGUUGUACAUUAUGAGUGGUGACCAUGUG
rnacentral:lncRNA from 1 species